GAUGAACGCUGGCGGCGCGCCUAACACAUGCAAGUCGAACGGUUAAGACGCACUUCGGUGCGUGCAUAGAGUGGCGAACGGCUGAGUAACACGUGGGCAACCUGCCCCCCGCACCGGGAUAGCCUCGCGAAAGCGUGAUUAAUACCGGGUACUCCGGCACCUCCGCAUGGCGGUGCCGGGAGAGCGUUAGCGGCGGGGGAUGGGCCCGCGGCCUGUUAGCUAGUUGGCGGGGCAACGGCCCACCAAGGCGAUUAUGGGUAGCCGGGUUGAGAGACCGACCGGCCAGAUUGGGACUGAGACACGGCCCAGACUCCUACGGGAGGCAGCAGUGGGGAAUCUUGCGCAAUGGGGGGAACCCUGACGCAGCGACGCCGCGUGCGGGACGAAGGCCCUAGGGUCGUAAACCGCUUUCAGCAGGGAAGAGGCCGCAAGGUGACGGUACCUGCAGAAGAAGCCCCGGCUAAAUACGUGCCAGCAGCCGCGGUAAUACGUAUGGGGCGAGCGUUAUCCGGAUUCAUUGGGCGUAAAGCGCGCGUAGGCGGCCUGGCAGGCCGGGAGUCAAAUCCGGGGGCUCAACCCCCGCCCGCUCCCGGAACCUCCGGGCUUGAGUCUGGCAGGGGAGGGUGGAAUACCCGGUGUAGCGGUGGAAUGCGCAGAUAUCGGGUAGAACACCGGUGGGCGAAGGCGGCCCUCUGGGCCACGACUGACGCUGAGGCGCGAAAGCUGGGGGAGCGAACAGGAUUAGAUACCCUGGUAGUCCCAGCCGUAAACGAUGGACGCUAGGUGUGGGGGGACGAUCCCCCCGUGCCGCAGCCAACGCACUAAGCGUCCCGCCUGGGGAGUACGGCCGCAAGGCUAAAACUCAAAGGAAUUGACGGGGGCCCGCACAAGCAGCGGAGCAUGUGGCUUAAUUCGAAGCAACGCGAAGAACCUUACCUGGGCUUGACAUUCAGGUGAAGCGGCGGAGACGCCGUGGCCGAGAGGAGCCUGAACAGGUGGUGCAUGGCUGUCGUCAGCUCGUGUCGUGAGGUGUUGGGUUAAGUCCCGCAACGAGCGCAACCCCCGCCGCGUGUUGCCAGCAGGUCAUGCUGGGCACCCGCGCGGGACCGCCGGCGUCAAGCCGGAGGAGGGUGGGGACGACGUCAAGUCAUCAUGCCCCUUAUGUCCAGGGCUGCACACGUGCUACAAUGGCCGGCACAACGGGCUGCGAACCCGCGAGGGCGAGCGAAUCCCUUAAAGCCGGCCCCAGUUCGGACCGGGGGCUGCAACCCGCCCCCGCGAAGUCGGAGUUGCUAGUAAUCGCGGAUCAGCACGCCGCGGUGAAUGCGUUCCCGGGCCU
rnacentral:rRNA from 2 species